GUGCUCGCUUCCGCGGCACAUAUACUAAAAUCGGAACGCUACAGAGAAGCUUAGCGUGGCCCCUGCGCAAGGAUGACACGCCGAUUCGUGAAGCGGUCCAGAUUUUU
rnacentral:snRNA from 1 species